UACGUAGGGGGCAAGCGUUGUCCGGAUUUAUUGGGCGUAAAGAGCGUGUAGGCGGUCAGGUAGGUCGGUUGUGAAAACUGGAGGCUCAACCUUCAGAGGUCGACCGAAACCCCCUGGCUAGAGUCCGGGAGAGGAGAGUGGAAUUCCUGGUGUAGCGGUGAAAUGCGCAGAUAUCAGGAAGAACACCCGUGGCGAAAGCGGCUCUCUGGAACGGUACUGACGCUGAGGCGCGAAAGCCAGGGGAGCAAACGGG
rnacentral:rRNA from 1 species